GUCUCUGUGGUGCAAUCAGUUAGUACAUUUGCCUCUUGACCAAAAGGUUGGUGGUUCGAGCCCACCCAGGGACG